rnacentral:rRNA from 1 species
UACGUAGGGUGCAAGCGUUAAUCGGAAUUACUGGGCGUAAAGCGUGCGCAGGCGGCUUUGCAAGACAGAUGUGAAAUCCCCGGGCUUAACCUGGGAACUGCAUUUGUGACUGCAUGGCUGGAGUGCGGCAGAGGGGGAUGGAAUUCCGCGUGUAGCAGUGAAAUGCGUAGAUAUGCGGAGGAACACCGAUGGCGAAGGCAGCCCCCUGGGAUGUGACUGACGCUCAUGUACGAAAGCGUGGGGAGCAAACAGG